AUUAUUACUGUGGAGCUCUGUUAUACACUCAGACACACAUUACUGGGAGUAUUAUUACUGUGGAGCUCUGUUAUACACUCAGACACAUUACUGGGAGUAUUAUUGCUGUGGAGCUCUGUUAUACACUCAGACACAUUACUGGGAGUAUUAUUGCUGUGGAGCUCUGUUAUACACUCAGACCCAUUACUGGGAGUAUUAUUGCUGUGGAGCUCUGUUAUACACUCAGACACAUUACUGGGAGUAUUAUUGCUGUGGGGCUCUG